rnacentral:snRNA from 1 species
AUUGCUUCUUGGCCUUUUGUCUAAGAUCAAGUGUAGUAUCUGGUCUUACCAGUUCAAUAUCUGAUAUGUCCUCUUUCUGAGAACAAUAUAUUAAAUGGAUUUGGACACAGGGACAUGGANNNNNN